GUCAGCACCCCGCACUGAAGUUACGGGGCUUCAUGCCUCCCACUUCAGUUAGUUGACCAGCCUAAGUCUUAACUGACUACGUUUUUUGAGUCAUGACACCCUGUGGAUGCGAAGCUAGUCCCUGGCUCUGUC
rnacentral:sRNA from 1 species